AGCCCGCGGGAAGGCCCUGCUGCUGGCCACAUUCUGCAAACAAACAUCCACAUGCGUGUACAUGGCGAGCCAGCACCUAACGACAAACACGACUGUGAUAAGUUUAUGGGGCUGCAGGAUCGAGGAGGACAGAGACAAUUAGGCAAAUCAUAAAUAAAUGCAGCGACGCCUUUUGUCUGCGCAAACCCUGCCUGUCUACUGGGAAUUCCAGCCCGGAGAUGGGGUGGGGAAGGUGGUUUGUAAUCUCCGUUCCGGCUCAGCCCCUCAAGCCUUCUCCGAUGAAACGAGAGGGGGACCGGGGUGAAAGUGUCUCUUACUCCUGAGGGGGCCUCAUAGGCGGCAUUUUCUUCCCUUUCCUUGCUCCCUGUACCAGCCCAGAUAAAGUGUGCCUCGGUUUACCCUUGGAGACACAUAAGCCCUUCCUCAGAGGCUGACGGGUACCUGGUAAAAAUUCAGUGCACCCUCCCUACCUGCCUCUGUGAAGGGAUCUCAGACACAGAGCUCCGUGCAAGGGGGACACGUGCUCAAAGGACUUCUCUGGGUAGAGGAGCCGGGCAAACUCGCAAUGGAAGGUUGGGAGGUGAGGGGAAGGGUCCGGGAAUGGCUGGAGAGAAAGAUGGACACAGCUCCCUAGGGGCCAGGCAGGUGGGGCAGCCACGCCUCCCUGCCUACCCCGGUCAGAUCUGGCCUGCUGUUGUCAUUCUGUUUACUUGUUCACAGCAUCCCUUCUGACUUGAGGAAUGCGUCCCUGCUUGUCCUGUGAAUGACGCAGUCACUCCGCAUACAAGGCAAGAGCCAGGAGCCUAGGUUUAGUGUUUUGAUGGCAGCUGGGGGUGGGGUGGGGAACAUUGAUGGUUACUGAGCAAGAGAAAGUUGGGGUGCAGACACUUUCUUUUUUCUUUUCUUUUAUUUUUUUUUCAGACACUUCUUCAUUCGCCAGUAUUCACCGAGGGCCCGCUGGGGACUCAGCCACAUUUGAUCAGAUCUCUGUCCUCACGGGGCUUAUGCUCUGUGGUCAGAAAUACUGAUAUCCAGGGCUUUAACCCAUUCUGCUCCCUCCCUGGGCAUGUCAAGGGCCUCUUGGAACAGAUGGGAUGAUAAAGGGGAAGGAAUAUUGCACUAGAUCUUUUUUUUCCUCUAAAUUUAAUAAUCAGAGCAUCAUGAAGCCUGCUCCCAAUCCAUCUCAAAGGGAGGUCCUUCUAGGGACCACGUGAAGUACCAGUUAGUUGUUCCUGAGCCACGCUCUCAGCCACUAACCCCAUAAGUGGCUUAGAAAUGCUCACAGAACCCCACCCAGCCUGGUGGCACACACCAGUAGUCCCAGCUGCUUAGGAGGAGGCAGAGGGAGCCGUGACUUAGAAGGCAACCACAUGGCGAGACUGUCUCAAGUAACAACCAAUCAAGCAACAAGUGUCCCCAAAUCCCAGCUUGAGUGGCCCAAGCAGAUUAGGACACGUGGCAUAGCUACUCCCCGCAAAGCUUCUCACACUGAGCUGUGCUGGGGACUCAGACACGGGACCCGGUACAAUAGGAAAAUAUCAGACAACAGGCUGUGUCUUUGGGUGUUUAUGUCAUCUGGAGGCCCCUCACUCCCUUUUUUUUCCAGCCUUUGUUUUGGCUUCCAUCUCCAUCUGGUUGCGGGGGGGGUUUACAAUAACUCAAGCUCUCCAAAGAGACACCCUCUGAUUAACUUGCGAGCAAUCCCACCCGAAGUCCUCGACUGUGUGUGGUGGCUCAUAUACGCAAUGCCAGUACCCUGGAAGCUGAUGCAGAGGGAUUGCUUUGAGUUAGAGCUGUAUAGUUGAGUUCCGGUUGAGACCUCGUCCCAAGAGGGAAAAAAAAAUACAAGUUCUGGAAUUGAGCUCUACUGGGUCCUUAGUUCAUCGCUGGACGGGCGAUCCAUCGAGCCCCUAUACACAGGAGAAAGGAAGAUGUUGCUUGGCCAACCCUCCCUUUGAGUAGGUCAGCUCCACUCAAAUUACACAGAACGUGUGGGGACGGGACGGGGAGAUCUUGAAGGGCGAUCAAUAUGGAGCUUGCAGGAGAGGAACGGGCCCUGGGGCAGGACAAUGGGUGCCCACUUCCUGUCCACUUCCCUGGAGGAAAGCACGUAAUCCGAUGGAGAGUGAGAUGACUCAGGGUGACUCCUUUACCACUGCUCCAAAAGAGAAAGUAAGUCUGUGGGACCCGUGUCUUUCUGGGACCAGCCAUUGUGGUGUGGGUCCUCGGUGAGCUCCUGCCUCCAUGUCUCCCCACAAGUGGCGCGGCCUGUCAGCGGGUCCCGGUGGUGACUGGGGUGCAGGGAAGACACAGGGCAGGGGUCUAAGAGAGGGCUGGGUCAUUUUGGUGGAUCUUGACAGAGCUGGGAGAGAGGGGCAAAUCAGGGAAAGGGAUGAUGGGUACAGUCAACAUUGGAAGGAACUUGUCUGUCCCCUGACCGUGGAAAGGGCUUCCAAAGAAGCAGGUCAUAUCUUUGGUUUCUCAUUCACCAGCAUUCAAGAAUGAUCCUUGACUGCAAGGAAGGUGUCUGGGAUGGCUUUUAUUGUCAGCUGGUCACGACCGUGAGUCAUCUGCUGUCAGCCGCACCAGAAGCUGACCCUGCCAGUCCGCUGAGGCAGACGGGGUAUCCAGGAGAACAGAAGGCGUCGACUGGCCGACGCCGAGUCGCGCCCUCCCCUGUCUACAUUAAAGGUGGGGGUCGGCCCCGCCCAGAUUGCAUAAGGUGAGUGUAGGGAGCUAAGGGAUCCCCGGAAGAUCGUCACAGUGUACCCCAGUGGUCAGACUACAUGUCUACUGCAGCCUCACACUGGCUUGGAAAAUCAAGAGGUGAGUUUGGGGGAGCAGAGGGGAGAGGCAGUCACCCGAGCCACCCGGGACUCAUCUGCUUCUGGGAGGGAGGUGACACUGACUUCCAACCCCAGCGGAGUGUGCAGCCCCACCAGGGAUCCAGAGGACGGCUCCCCCUUGGUGUCCUCAUGCCACAAGACGUAAAAUAAUCCCCUCGGCUCAGAAAAACACAUUUUUUUAUGGCUGUCUGACUCAUUUCCCACAAAGCUAGGUUCAACACCCCCCCAACGUUUACAGCUUUUGUUUUCGAAAAAUAAUAAUAAAAAAAGUUAGCUGAA